GAUGAACGCUAGCGGCAGGCUUAAUACAUGCAAGUCGAGGGGUAACAUGGUAGCAAUACUGAUGACGACCGGCAAACGGGUGCGGAACACGUACAGAACCUUCCUUUAAGCGGGGGAUAGCCCAUAGAAAUGUGGAUUAAUACCCCAUAGUAAUAUUUGGUGGCAUCAUCGGGUAUUUAAAGAUUUAUCACUUAAAGAUGGCUGUGCGGCUGAUUAGGUAGUUGGUGCGGGAACGGCCCACCAAGCCAUCGAUCAGUAACUGGUGUGAGAGCACGACCAGUCACACGGGCACUGAGACACGGGCCCGACUCCUACGGGGAGGCAGCAGUAAAGGAAUAUUGGUCAAUGGACGCAAGUCUGAACCAAGCCAUGCCGCGUGAAGGAUGAAGGCCCUCU
rnacentral:rRNA from 1 species